rnacentral:rRNA from 1 species
CCUACGGGGGACAGCAGUCGAGAAUCUUUCACAAUGGGGGAAACCCUGAUGGUGCGACGCCGCGUGGGGGAAUGAAGGUCUUCGGUUUGUAAACCCCUGUCAUGUGGGAGCAAAUUAAAAAGAUAGUACCACAAGAGGAAGAGACGGCUAACUCUGUGCCAGCUGCCGCGGUAAUACAGAGGUCUCAAGCGUUGUUCGGAAUCCCUGGGCGUAAAGGGUGCGUAGGCGUGUUCGUAAGUCGUGUGUGAAAGGCGCGGGCUCAACCCGCGGACGGCACAUGAUACUGGGAGACUAGAGUAAGGGAGGGGGAACCGGAAUUCGAGGUGUAGCAGUGAAAUGCGUAGAUAUCGAGAGGAACACUCGUGGCGAAGGCGGGUUCCUGGACAUUAACUGACGCUGAGGCACGAAGGCCAGGGGAGCGAAAGGGAUUAGAUACCCGGGUAGUC